rnacentral:rRNA from 1 species
AAACUCUAAAAACAAUCUCAGUUCAGAUUGCAGGCUGCAACUCGCCUGCAUGAAGUCGGAAUUGCUAGUAAUCGUAGGUCAGCAUACUACGGUGAAUACGUUCCCGGGCCUUGUACACACCGCCCGUCAAACCAUGAGAGUUGGCAACACCCGAAGUCGGUAGUCUAACCGCAAGGAGGACGCCGCCGAAGGUGGGGUUGAUGAUUAGGGUUAAGUCGUAACAAGGUAGC